AAGACAGUCUCUUUAGCCAAUGAAGAAGAGACAACGUUUUUCCCAAAACCACCACUAUUUCACCAAAACAACCAUCUAGAUGCUAUCACUGGUUUCUCGUUAUUUGUCUUUUUUCGCUCUUUUUCUUUUGGAAUAUGUUAUAAUAGUGACCACUUAUAUAUUUUCCUUUUUUAUAUAAAACGAAAAAAAGAACGAAGUAGCUGCGGUUUUUGUGCUCAAACCCCUUCAUUUUCAAUUGAUCAUUCAUUCAUAUCACAUAUUAUCAGCACCAUAAUAAACCAUUUAUCAUAUAUAUUUAUAGUGUAUGUAGUUAUCUAG